rnacentral:rRNA from 1 species
AGUGAACGCUGGCGGUAGGCCUAACACAUGCAAGUCGAACGGCAGCACAGGAGAGCUUGCUCUCUGGGUGGCGAGUGGCGGACGGGUGAGGAAUACAUCGGAAUCUACUCUGUCGUGGGGGAUAACGUAGGGAAACUUACGCUAAUACCGCAUACGACCUACGGGUGAAAGCAGGGGACCUUCGGGCCUUGCGCGAUUGAAUGAGCCGAUGUCGGAUUAGCUCGUUGGCGGGGUAAAGGCCCACCAAGGCGACGAUCCGUAGCUGGUCUGAGAGGAUGAUCAGCCACACUGGAGCUGAGACACGGUCCGGGCUGCUACGGGAGGCGGCAGUGGGGAAUAGUGGACAAUGGGCGCAAGCCUGAUCCGGCCAUACCGCGUGGGUGAAGAAGGCCUUCGGGUUGUAAAGCCCUUUUGUUGGGAAAGAAAUCCAGCUGGCUAAUACCCGGUUGGGAUGACGGUACCCAAAGAAUAAGCACCGGCUAACUUCGUGCCAGCCGCCGCAGUAA